CGCUUCUUUUUCCACCGGAGCUUGCUCCACCGGAAAAAGAGGAGUGGCGAACGGGUGAGUAACACGUGGGUAACCUGCCCAUCAGAAGGGGAUAACACUUGGAAACAGGUGCUAAUACCGUAUAACAAUCAAAACCGCAUGGUUUUGAUUUGAAAGGCGCUUUCGGGUGUCGCUGAUGGAUGGACCCGCGGUGCAUUAGCUAGUUGGUGAGGUAACGGCUCACCAAGGCCACGAUGCAUAGCCGACCUGAGAGGGUGAUCGGCCACAUUGGGACUGAGACACGGCCCAAACUCCUACGGGAGGCAGCAGUAGGGAAUCUUCGGCAAUGGACGAAAGUCUGACCGAGCAACGCCGCGUGAGUGAAGAAGGUUUUCGGAUCGUAAAACUCUGUUGUUAGAGAAGAACAAGGAUGAGAGUAACUGUUCAUCCCUUGACGGUAUCUAACCAGAAAGCCACGGCUAACUACGUGCCAGCAGCCGCGGUAAUACGUAGGUGGCAAGCGUUGUCCGGAUUUAUUGGGCGUAAAGCGAGCGCAGGCGGUUUCUUAAGUCUGAUGUGAAAGCCCCCGGCUCAACCGGGGAGGGUCAUUGGAAACUGGGAGACUUGAGUGCAGAAGAGGAGAGUGGAAUUCCAUGUGUAGCGGUGAAAUGCGUAGAUAUAUGGAGGAACACCAGUGGCGAAGGCGGCUCUCUGGUCUGUAACUGACGCUGAGGCUCGAAAGCGUGGGGAGCAAACAGGAUUAGAUACCCUGGUAGUCCACGCCGUAAACGAUGAGUGCUAAGUGUUGGAGGGUUUCCGCCCUUCAGUGCUGCAGCUAACGCAUUAAGCACUCCGCCUGGGGAGUACGACCGCAAGGUUGAAACUCAAAGGAAUUGACGGGGGCCCGCACAAGCGG
rnacentral:rRNA from 1 species